rnacentral:rRNA from 1 species
UACGUAGGGUGCAAGCGUUGUCCGGAAUUAUUGGGCGUAAAGAGCGCGUAGGCGGCUCGUUAAGUGUGAAGUGAAAUCUCCAGGGCUCAACCCGGAAACUGCUUCGCAUACUGGCGAGCUGGAGUGACGAAGAGGUUUGUGGAAUUCCUGGUGUAGCGGUGAAAUGCGUUGAUAUCAGGAGGAACACCGAUGGCGAAGGCAGCAAACUGGUCGUCAACUGACGCUGAGGCGCGAAAGCGUGGGUAGCAAACAGG